rnacentral:rRNA from 1 species
GAUGAACGCUGGCGGCGUGCCUAAUACAUGCAAGUCGAGCGAACAGACGAGGAGCUUGCUCCUCUGACGUUAGCGGCGGACGGGUGAGUAACACGUGGAUAACCUACCUAUAAGACUGGGAUAACUUCGGGAAACCGGAGCUAAUACCGGAUAACAUGUUGAACCGCAUGGUUCAACAGUGAAAGACGGUCUUGCUGUCACUUAUAGAUGGAUCCGCGCCGCAUUAGCUAGUUGGUAAGGUAACGGCUUACCAAGGCAACGAUGCGUAGCCGACCUGAGAGGGUGAUCGGCCACACUGGAACUGAGACACGGUCCAGACUCCUACGGGAGGCAGCAGUAGGGAAUCUUCCGCAAUGGGCGAAAGCCUGACGGAGCAACGCCGCGUGAGUGAAGAAGGUCUUCGGAUCGUAAAACUCUGUUAUUAGGGAAGAACAAAUGUGUAAGUAACUAUGCACGUCUUGACGGUACCUAAUCAGAAAGCCACGGCUAACUACGU